rnacentral:lncRNA from 1 species
UCGCUGCGAGUCCACACCUGAAGGUGGCCUCCGGAGAGACUUUCUUUGACCACCUUGGCCAGUCAGCUCCAUUUCCAGAGUUCUUCUCAGAGCUGACUAGACUCUGAGGCCUUUGCCUCUCAUCCCUGUGGCCUCCUUGAAGUUCUGUAGUCUUGGUGACUCUUGUACUUGGUUCCUCUGUCACAGUGACUGAGGCCCACCAAGCAUGGCAUGCUUGUCCCCAUCCAGCUUUUUGCCUUCUCCCCAGGCCCUGUGCUCCCCUGGACCCGUUCACACAGCAUCUGAUUCACCUGUGUGACCUGAUCCCUCAGCUGGCACUGUGGCCGACCACGUACUGUAUCUUCUGUGUGCUACCCCUGCCCCUAUUAAGGCCUUCAGGUCUCUGGAUGUCUGUGCUUCCUGAGCCCUGUGCCAGCCUGUGCACAUAGGAUGCCAGCCUGUGCACAUAGGAUGCCAGCCUGUGCACAUAGGAUGCCAGCCUGUACACAUAGGAUGCCAGCCUGUGCACAUAGGAUGCCAGCCUGUGCACAUAGGAUGCCAGCCUGUGCACAUAGGAUGCCAGCCUGUGCACAUAGGAUGCCAGCCUGUGCACAUAGGAUGCCAAGGGAGGUGCUGCUUCUGAGGACUCUCGCAAGCUCCUCUUCCCCGUGACCUCCCUCAGCUGGUCCUGAGGGUCUAGGCGCCACAGAGGAAGAGAGAAGAAGCAGUGGCCCAAAUGGCUCUGCUGGGGCCAUGGAAGUCGGGAUCAUAAGGACAGGCGCCUAGCUUCCACAUGACUGUCUGGCGUGCUUGAGAGUCAGCAUGUGUCAGGCCAGUGCUUGUCUCCACGCUGAGAUUCACUUUCGCUGGGGAAGGUCCAUCCUUCCCUGUUCCACCAAUUCACACCAGCUCUCUGCACGGCCACAGUGGCAGAAGAGGCAGGGCAGAAAGGAGCCUCAUGCAUCUAGAACUCUGGAUUCUGCACAGUGGACAAGUUCCCCCACCAUGCUGGCUUCCAGGAUGGGUUCGCGUGACUCUAUAGAGUGAAGAGGAACCACUGUUGCUCACCUCUACAGAAGGUUAUAAGCCUCAAUGCCCACUUCCCCUGAGCCCACUGCCGAGGCCUAGACCUCCAACUCUGGUGUUCAUUUAACACCAUCUUGAUUUUUGUUUCUGGCAAGAUCUUACUAGUUAACCUAACUGGCCUGGAACUCCCUAUGUAGCCCAGGCUAGCCUGGAAAUUGCUAUGUAGCCUAGGUUAGACUCAAAAAUCAUGAUCUCCCUCAGCCUCCUCAUUGCUGGGCUUCUAGGUGUUAGGCCCAGCUGAGCGCUUUGAGUUUGACUGCCUCCGUUCUGAGUCGGGCUCCUGCCAGAAGGCCCCCAGGACGUUCCCAGGCUGAGCUCUUGCCGCUCACCCAUGCAUUACCACUGAGACUCAGAAGCCUUCAGAAGCAAUGACGUUAAUUGGGAGUAUGUGCGGGGCUCUGCAGGGUUCCAGACUGGUGGUGGACCUUGUGUUCUGUGUGGCCCCCACUGGCAGUCCCAGGGGUCUAGCCCAAGGAGACUGAUGGAUGCUGAGUCAUGAUCACAUCACAAGCAAAGUUCUUAGCUUUUCUCCCACAACAUACCCAGCUCUUUAAAUUUAAUGUCCUUUUUUUUUCUGACUUUUCUACCAAAAGGUGUGUAUUGUUUUCUUUAUAUUUUUAUUCUUAUCACUGUUCUUAUCUGAUACUACUAAGUGUUCUCACUUAGUAUUUAUUUUAUUAAUGUUUUCUAUUAUUUAUUAGCUUUUGAUGUUAAAAAAAAACCAAGCCAAAAUGUGAUGGCAUUGUAUAAGAAGUUAUAUUUUAGCAGCAUUCAAACAUUUGUUUUUAAAACAAAUACUUAAUCCAAUUUAAGCCCAUUCGUUAAACUAACCAAGUUUGUUAAUAUAUAGCAUAUGCCGUCGGAGCCUCAGAAGCUCAGUUUAUGAUUUGCUUUGGUUUAGUUUGUGACAAGAGUGUCAGUUUCAUGCAGCUCAGGCUAGCCUUGAACUAACUGUGUAGCUGAAGCUGCCCUUGGAUUCAUCUUCCUGCUUUCAUCCUCUACAUAUUUGCAUUACAGGUGUGUGUGUGUGCCACCAUGCCUGGUGAUAAUCAGCUCAUUUUUAAAGUAAUUUAUGAUACAACACUAGGUGUUGGCAUUUUAAGAAUAUAUAUAUAUGUAUGCAUAUAUGUAUACAUAUGAUAUGUAUAUAUAUAUGUAUGCAUAUAUGUAUACAUAUGAUAUAUAUACAUAUAUACAUAUACAUAUAUAUAUAUAUUGGUUUUUGGUUUUCAAGACAGGGUUUCUCUGUGUAGCUCUGGCUAUCCUGGAACAGAAUCUAUAGACUAGGCUGGCCUCUGACUCACAGAUGCAUCUGCCUCCUGAGUGCUGGGAUUAAAGGUAUGUGCCACCACCGUCCAUCCUAAUUUCUCUAUUAUUAAACUAAAAUUACUAUUUAAUUUUUCCUAUUUUUUAUAAGCUGUCUGCUUUUAUUUUCCAGUUUUUCAGUGCAGUUUGUUUUAGAGCAUUCUGGAUUUCAGAUCUUUAAAUGUCCUUUACCCAUUUUCUGAGUUCGUAGAGGUUUUCUGAUCUCUUUAAAUAUUUUAUAUUUGACAAUUUAGGUUUUGUGCCCCCUCCCUUUGAGAUGCUGAGGAUUGAACCUAAGACCUUAUACAUUCUAGGCAAGUUCUCUACCACUGAGCCAUGCCCUCAGCCCUACAUUUAUAUAUUGAACUGAUUUUCAGUUUACAUCAGAAUUGCUGAGAUGGAAUUUAUAGACUCUCAUCCACUUGUCUACUAUAAACAUCAAAAAACAAUUGGCCUAGUGGCAGACUCUUAAUCCCAUUAUUCAGAAGGUAGAGGUAGGGGGAUCUCAGAGAGUUUGAGGCCAUCCUGUUCUAUGUAACAGGUUCCAGACCAGCCAGGGCUACAUAAUAAGACCUUGUCUUAAAAAUAUAUAUGUAUAUGUGUAUAUACACAUACAUACAUACAUACAUACAUACAUACAUACAUACAUACAUACAUACAUGGGCUGGGGAUAAAGAGAAGGCUCAGUAAUUAGAGCACUGGGCCUUCCAGGGUACCCAAGUUCAGUUUUCAGUAUCUAUAUGAUGGCUUACAACUAUCUAUAACUCAGUUCCUAGGGAUCUAAGCCCUUUCUUGGCUUCUGUAGGCACUGUGCCAAUGUAGAACACAGACACAGUCAAAACACUCAUAAACAUAAAAUAAAAAUGAAGGGAAAGAUAAAACAGACAUUAUUGUGGUGCAGUGCCCCUGACUGUACAGGAAUACAUGCAGUUUUACAGAGACCUGCUCUCUCAUAUCUUCACUAAAUCUAGAAAGUUACAGAUUGUACUAGUUGUUUUGUUUUUAAGUCACUAUUGAGGUUGAAGUUCUGUAGCAACUACCUCAGAGAGGGCUAGCUCCUCCAUAGCUCUAUUCAGGUCUGUGUGACAAAGUUGUUAUGUCAAGCAUGAGUGCCAAACAGGCUUUACACUUCUUUCCCCACAGUAUUUCCAUCAGGCUGGAAAGCAUAUGAAGUGUAAAGGAUAAUUUUGGUAUUAAGAUUCGUAUCUGGGCCUGGUGUGUGUCUAUAAUCCCAGCACAUGGACGGUAGAGGCAGAAAUGUCAAAUCAUCUUUAGCAACAGAACAAGUUCAAGCUAGCUAUGGCUACAAGAGACCUGUCUCAAUAAACAAACAAAC